rnacentral:misc_RNA from 1 species
UAGUAAUAUACUAUAGGUCUUGGAGUUGCCUGUAAAAAGGCGCCCAUUACCGCCAAACCUUGCCAACAUAAACUUAAUUAUUACCUCGGUAGACUUGUCUACCGGUGGACAAAAUUAAACUCUUUUAAAAUUGUCUGCAAAUAUUGUAAUAGUCUGACUAUAAUGUUAAUAUAUUA